GUUUACUCGGUUACACACACACAGAGAGAUGGAUGCAGGUUUUCAGGAUGUAAGAGGUCUUUAUUAACAUACCGAUCGGGCCUCAGAUGAACUAACUUUCCAAAACAGGUCUGAGGGACGAACACAUGGAGUACAUCCUUUUUAUAGAACUAUAACUCCUCCCAUUAAUAGCUCCACCCGCACAUACCCUUAACCAAUCAGUGGACAGGAUUUGGAUUUCCUUAUAUGGGCAGACCAC